AUUGAACGCUGGCGGCAGGCCUAACACAUGCAAGUCGAGCGGAUGAAGGGAGCUUGCUCCUGGAUUCAGCGGCGGACGGGUGAGUAAUGCCUAGGAAUCUGCCUGGUAGUGGGGGAUAACGUCCGGAAACGGGCGCUAAUACCGCAUACGUCCGGAGGGAGAAAGUGGGGGAUCUUCGGACCUCACGCUAUCAGAUGAGCCUAGGUCGGAUUAGCUAGUUGGUGGGGUAAAGGCCUACCAAGGCGACGAUCCGUAACUGGUCUGAGAGGAUGAUCAGUCACACUGGAACUGAGACACGGUCCAGACUCCUACGGGAGGCAGCAGUGGGGAAUAUUGGACAAUGGGCGAAAGCCUGAUCCAGCCAUGCCGCGUGUGUGAAGAAGGUCUUCGGAUUGUAAAGCACUUUUAGUUGGGAGGAACGGCAGUAAGUUAAUACCUUGCUGUUUUGACGUUACCAACAGAAUAAGCACCGGCUAACUACGUG
rnacentral:rRNA from 1 species